AGUGAACGCUGGCGGUAGGCCUAACACAUGCAAGUCGAACGGCAGCACAGUACUAGCUUGCUCUUACGGGUGGCGAGUGGCGGACGGGUGAGGAAUACAUCGGAAUCUACUUUUUCGUGGGGGAUAAAGUAGGGAAACUUACGCUAAUACCGCAUACGACCUACGGGUGAAAGCAUGGGAUCUUCGGACCUUGCGCGAUUGAAUGAGCCGAUGUCGGAUUAGCUAGUUGGCGGGGUAAAGGCCCACCAAGGCGACGAUCCGUAGCUGGUCUGAGAGGAUGAUCAGCCACACUGGAACUGAGACACGGUCCAGACUCCUACGGGAGGCAGCAGUGGGGAAUAUUGGACAAUGGGCGCAAGCCUGAUCCAGCCAUACCGCGUGUGUGAAGAAGGCCUUCGGGUUGUAAAGCCCUUUUGUUGGGAAAGAAGAGCAGCAGGUUAAUACCCUGCUGUUCUGACGGUACCCAAAGAAUAAGCACCGGCUAACUUCGUG
rnacentral:rRNA from 1 species